rnacentral:rRNA from 1 species
UGUCCAGACUCCUACGGGAGGCAGCAGUGGGGAAUUUUGGACAAUGGGCGCAAGCCUGAUCCAGCUAUUCCGCGUGUGGGAUGACGGCCCUCGGGUUGUAAACCACUUUAGUAGAGAACGAAAAGGAGCUAUCGAAUAAAUAGCUCUGCUGACGGUACUCUAAGAAAAAGCAUCGGCUAACUCCGUGCCAGCAGCCGCGGUAAUACGGAGGAUGCGAGCGUUAUCCGGAUUUAUUGGGUUUAAAGGGUGCGUAGGCGGAAGGUUAAGUCAGCGGUCAAAUGUCGGUGCUCAACACCGGCCUGCCGUUGAAACUGGUCUUCUUGAGUGAGCGAGAAGUAUGCGGAAUGCGUGGUGUAGCGGUGAAAUGCAUAGAUAUCACGCAGAACUCCGAUUGCGAAGGCAGCAUACCGGCGCUCAACUGACGCUGAGGCACGAAAGCGUGGGUAUCGAACAGGAUUAGAUACCCUGGUAA